AGGAGGUGCAUUGAGGUGUUGAGGCAUUGUGGGCUCUCUACAUGUUGCUGUCUGAGCCGCUGGUUCUCCUGGAGAAGCUCUGGUCCUCACAUUGAGCAUUGCUUCCUGGCUCUGGAGAGGAAGAUGUGUGCUGCUUGGUCUCCAGGAUGACCUCAUCACUCUGGCUUCCUGGCAUGUACUUGACUGUGCUAAUUGUCGGAGGAGCUCAGGGCCUCCGUGUUGCAAGGAUGGCUGUGGUGCUUUUCAGGACAGCCCUGGUCUUUGUUGUGAGUGUGACUUCUUGGCUCCAGAGUAGAACCCUCAUCCCACCAGCACAGCUCCUUCACCCUGCUGGCAUGGACUUUCUAGCCUCCACAGCUGACCUUUGGCCCUUCCCAGCACGGAUCUGUAAAAGAAACUGACGUGAGUCCUUCUUGUGGGCUCUGAAUCUCCAGAUGACUCAUGGGAGGCACUGUCAUGAGCUCUGGGUUCGUCUGGACUCAGGUGGGACAUAGUGUUGUGGACAGAUUUCCUGCAUUUUCUUGUGUUAACUCCGGGUGACCAUUAUAAGUAAUGUUAUAAACUUCAUGUCCUGAUUCUAAUUUUUCUGUGCACAACCCCUGACUACAAUAGAAAUGGUACCAAGAGAAGGGGUGUCAUUGCUGUUACGUUGCCAGGCCACGUGACUUAAGUCACGGAAUUCGGACAGUUUUUGAGAGACUGGCCAAAAGGCAGCCCCUAUGGUGUACUAUGCCAGUAUGCUGUGUACUAUUUUGGAGACUCUAUCGGAACCUGGAAAAUCAGAGUACUGAUGGAAAUGCUGCCAGUUACGAGCUCGGAAGUCUGGGAGGCUUCUGUUGAGGACUGCUGUGCCUGCUGGAGUCCAGGACAGGUGGAGCCCUGUGUGAACAGGGCCAUCUAGAAGAUGCUCCAGAGAAGGCGACAGAGGGGAAGACAGCAGCCUCUCUGAGGAGGUAACAUCCAAGCAAGCCCAGUCACAGAGGAGAGCAGCUACACUGGCACCGAGGAUUGGCAAAGACCUACAGCACUUUACCGUGAGCCUGGGCUUUCACCCAUUAGUGGGUGUGGUGAGAAUCUGACUCCAACUCCACCCCACUCUGCAUUCAAGGAAAGAGAUCUUGUUGCUGAAUCCCAUACUUUGGGACACUCCAGCCCCAGCCAUCUGCAAGCAUCAUCUGGAAGCCUCCUCCCAUCCAUACGUCCACUAGGGAGGUGCCAGGACAGUACAGGAAGUACCCAGCGUCCAGCCUGGCUGUAGUAACCAGGUCCAGCCCUCCUUACCAGUCUGGUUCCGUCGGGGACACCCCACAGUGGGUGUUGGCCGGGACCCCCGAGCCCCAUCCUGACCCUCCUCUUCCUGCCUACACGGGGGUGGGGGUGUUCCCUGAGUAGCCACUGCCUGAGUCCCCAGGUACAUCAGAAGGGGCCACCAAGAGGCCCAGGGUGAUGGGGUGGCCAUGUCAGAGCUCUCUGAGCGGAGCUCGCACACCCUGGUGCCUCGUGCUGCUCCCCAGCCACUCAGCCUCCUGUCACCUGCCCCGUCCCCCAACCUGGGUUCAUGGCAGCGGCUGCCAUGUUCCCAUGAAAACACUGUCCGGGGGGUGGUGGUGCUUGGUUUAUCUCACCUGGUUCCCUCUGCAACUGCCUGACCUUCCUGGAGCAGAGGUCUGGGCCCUGCAGUCCCACACGAAAGGCUCAGCGUCCAGGGGCCCGACUCAAGGACACCCAGCGGGAACCCGCAGCAAUGGACAGGGUGGGUCCUGCUUCACCAUGCUCCAUCAAAGUCACCUGCCAGGAGGCGACUCAGGCUCUCCCUGGACACUGGCCUGAGAUGUCAGUGGCUCACCUGGGGUCUGCAGAGGCUGCUGCCCACCCUUCUCAGCCUUGGCUCCUGCUUGGUUGUUAUGGGCCUCUUCAUGCCAAGCGAUGGUGGCAGAGAUCAGAGCUUCUCAGAUGAAGAAAUACAAACAGCAAAUAAAUACAUUAGAAAUGUGCAGCAUUGCUGGCCAUUCGAGAGAUGCAAAUUAAAACAACACUGAGAUUCCACCUCACCAGGAAAGAAUGGCUGUCAUCAAGAAUCAACAGAUAACAAAUGCUGGAGGGGCUGUGGAGAAAAAGGAGCCCUUCUCCACUGUUGGUAAGAAUGCAGACUGGUACAGCCACUGUGUAAAUCAGUGUGGAGAUUCUUCAAAUAGCCAGGACUAGAGGUCCCAUUAAACCCAGCUAUUCCAAAAGAAUUAAAAACACCCCACAGUGAUAUAUGUGCAAUUAUGUUUAUAGCAUCAUAAUUUAUAAUAGCCAGAUCUUGGAAACAACCUAAAUGCCCAUUGACUUAGAAAUGAAUAAAAAAGAUGUGGUAUUUUUAUAUAAUGGAGUACUACUCAGCCAUAAAGAGGGUUAAACUAGACACUUUUAUAGGUAAAUGGGGGAAAUUGAGAACAUACUUAUUAGUGAAAUAAAUAAGACACAUGUGGAAACAUGAGAUUUUCAUUAGUGUGACAAGCUGAAAGAAAAACAUACAUAUAUGUGUAGAUAUGUAUAUAAAAAUAGUUAAGAUAUAUGAUUUCUUUGAGUUCACUGAAGAGAAAGAUUUGUGCCAAUAUUGUUCAGACAGCUGAAUGCAGGUGUCCUGUGCUCUGGGUGAAUGAUUUGGGGAUGGCGGUGCACAGCAUAUGUAUCAUCGUUGCCCCCCAAUUGACGUGUUUUGAAAUUUUCUUGUAGUUUUUCUUCUUUUAUUUUUAUCCUUGAAUA